rnacentral:rRNA from 1 species
AACGCUAGCUACAGGCUUAACACAUGCAAGUCGAGGGGCAGCAUGAUUGAAGCUUGCUUCAAUUGAUGGCGACCGGCGCACGGGUGAGUAACACGUAUCCAACCUUCCGUACACUCAGGGAUAGCCUUUCGAAAGAAAGAUUAAUACCUGAUGGUAUCUUAAGCACACAUGUAAUUAAGAUUAAAGAUUUAUCGGUGUACGAUGGGGAUGCGUUCCAUUAGGUAGUAGGCGGGGUAACGGCCCACCUAGCCUACGAUGGAUAGGGGUUCUGAGAGGAAGGUCCCCCACAUUGGAACUGAGACACGGUCCAAACUCCUACGGGAGGCAGCAGUGAGGAAUAUUGGUCAAUGGACGAGAGUCUGAACCAGCCAAGUAGCGUGAAGGAUGAAGGUCCUACGGAUUGUAAACUUCUUUUAUAAGGGAAUAAAACCUCCCACGUGUGGGAGCUUGUAUGUACCUUAUGAAUAAGCAUCGGCUAACUCCGUGCCAGCAGCCGCGGUAAUACGGAGGAUGCGAGCGUUAUCCGGAUUUAUUGGGUUUAAAGGGAGCGUAGGCCGGAGAUUAAGCGUGUUGUGAAAUGUAGAUGCUCAACAUCUGCACUGCAGCGCGAACUGGUUUCCUUGAGUACGCACAAAGUGGGCGGAAUUCGUGGUGUAGCGGUGAAAUGCUUAGAUAUCACGAAGAACUCCGAUUG